rnacentral:rRNA from 1 species
CCGCACCUCAAGUGGUCAGGAUGAUUAUUGGGCCUAAAGCAUCCGUAGCCGGCGCUGUAAGUUUUCGGUUAAAUCUGUACGCUCAACGUACAGGCUGCCGGGAAUACUGCAGCGCUAGGGAGUGGGAGAGGUAGACGGUACUCGGUAGGAAGGGGUAAAAUCCUUUGAUCUAUUGAUGACCACCUGUGGCGAAGGCGGUCUACCAGAACACGUCCGACGGUGAGGGAUGAAAGCUGGGGGAGCAAACCGGAUUAGAUACCCGAGUAGUCC